GAUGAACGCUGGCGGCGUGCUUAACACAUGCAAGUCGAACGGUGAAGGAGGAGCUUGCUCUUCUGGAUCAGUGGCGAACGGGUGAGUAACACGUGAGCAACCUGCCCCUGACUCUGGGAUAAGCGCUGGAAACGGCGUCUAAUACUGGAUACGAGUAGCGACCGCAUGGUCAGCUACUGGAAAGAAUUUCGGUUGGGGAUGGGCUCGCGGCCUAUCAGCUUGUUGGUGAGGUAAUGGCUCACCAAGGCGUCGACGGGUAGCCGGCCUGAGAGGGUGACCGGCCACACUGGGACUGAGACACGGCCCAGACUCCUACGGGUGGCAG
rnacentral:rRNA from 1 species